rnacentral:lncRNA from 1 species
UAUUUAGUUGUUCGGAAUUUGUUAUAUAAUGAUGUUUCCAACUUUGGACGUGCGUUUUAAUUUUUGGAGUUUGACUCGUUGUUGCGUUCAACUCGGUUCAACUUAAAUGUUACGCUUGAUAGAUUGAGAUAUUAUUGCGGAUGUAAAUGACGAGUCUUAUUUGUGUUUGUAUAAUAUAUCCCUGUCGAAAGAAGAUAGAUUUCGUGAUUAGAAUUUUUAAAUGUCAUGCAGUCUAAUGUCAGCAUGACGGUCUGAUAUUAUUUCGUAUUAUUUGUUUUCUAAGUGGCUAUUAUGGACAUUGGACAAUAAUCUACCGUUUAUUGAAACGGAGUUUACCCUGCGGACUGGUCUGAUUUGGUUUAUUACUCAUCGAUCGCGUUUUACUGGACGUGAAGGAAAAUUAUUGGCGUAGCAAUCGUUUAUUAACUGUUAAUUUUAAUUGGUUACUGGCAGGGAAUUAUACACGUUGAUGAAUCAAGUGUCCAACGUUCUCAAGUCUCAAGGAGUGGGAAAAAAAGGUGAUCCAGUGGCAAUUGAUGUCCCACCAAUUUAUGUCCACUUGCUGUCGCCUCAAUGCUCGCUUGCUGUGCCCAUGUCGGAGCCGUCCAUUCCGUAGUCUUUACCGGAUUCAGUGCGGAAGCGAUGGCCAAUCGCAUCAACGACGCUGAAGCUACGGUAGUUAUUACUGCUGGCCAAGGGGUCCAAGGUGGCAAAUUAAUUGAAUUGAAGAAAUGAACAACAGUUGAAAAAUGUCCGACUGUUAAAACUAUUCUCGAAGCAAAAAGAAUCUUGUUGAUUCAUCGCUUCUUGAUGUCGAUCUUAAUGAGAGAGGGGCGAAUGUGAACCGGCCGUUUUGGACAGCGAAGAUUUCUUGUUUAUGCUCUACACAUCCGGCAGCACGGGAAACCCUGACGGGAUUGUUCAUUCCCAAGCUGGCUGUCUUCUCUAUGCGUCGUUGAUGCAUAGUUUAAAAUAGUUUCCGAUUGCAAAGAAGGAGGAUCUCAAAUGCUGACGUAAUUAAUUCUCGUUUUCCCAACAGGUCGAUAUUGGAAGGCUGCCCAGCGUCUAAAAAUCAACCAAUUGUAUGCAGCUCCUACCGCUAUUCGAUUAUUAUUGAAAUACGACGAAAAACAUGUUGAAAAAUAUGAUCUCAGCUCUCUGCAUUCUGGGUUCUGUGGGUUAACCCAUCAACGUGGAGGCAUGGCACUGGUACAACAAAGUUGAACGACGCAAAGAGAAAUGCGCCGUUGUGGACACUUGGUGCUGGCAAUCGGAAACGGGAGGCAUUUGCAUCAGUCUGCUGGUACCCUCGGCCAAUGGCUUAGAAAUUCAUCCCGGUAUGCUGAUGAGGCCGAUGUACUGAAUCUGGCCGGCUAUUCUGGGAGAGAAGGUAAUGUCUAAUAUUUAUUUGUUUUCCAAAUUCAUCCUAGCUGGAAAUCUUUUCUGUAAAGGGGGAGGAGUUGAAAGGCAAUGAUGUAGCUAACAGGUGCCUUAAUGUGCUUGAAAAAUCCUUGGCCUGGAAUGGCACGCACCAUUUAUGGAACAUAUUACAGCCGCUUCAUGGAAACUAAUAAUCGACCUUUUUAAAGUAAAAAAUUUCUAACACAUUUUCGUUAUAUUUCAGCGAAUAUUCCAACGAGUAAGACUGUAAGAGUAUGGGGGUUAAAAUAUUGGCUAGUAUUCAGUGCUCGGUAAACAUAACUGGGUAGUAGGUGAAGUGACUCCAAUAUUGUCAUCCAAACCGAAUUUUGAAAUU